UUUAGCCUACGGGGGGCAGCAGUGAGGAAUAUUGGUCAAUGGUCGGGAGACUGAACCAGCCAAGCCGCGUGAGGGAUGAAGGUACAGAGUAUCGUAAACCUCUUUUGUCAGGGAACAAAGGCGGGGACGCGUCCCCGGAUGAGUGUACCUGGAGAAAAAGCAUCGGCUAACUCCGUGCCAGCAGCCGCGGUAAUACGGAGGAUGCGAGCGUUAUCCGGAUUUAUUGGGUUUAAAGGGUGCGUGGGCGGAAGGUUAAGUCAGCGGUCAAAUGUCGGUGCUCAACACCGGCCUGCCGUUGAAACUGG
rnacentral:rRNA from 1 species